GCUUGCGAAGAACUACAUUAAAAUGCCUGCCAAACAAUUGGAACACCGAACAAUUUGCGUUUUACUAAAAUGCCACUACUUCUGCUCCCCCACCCCCUCAGAACAAUAAUUAAGUUUCCUUCUCUACCCUGGGUGCCAGAGCCUCAGUGAGAAAGUGGAUCGGUGAAAGAGAAGGUAGAUGACCACUUUUCGACCGUCAAUCUCACUAAGGAUGUGGGGCGUGGCGGACGCACACAGGGUUUUACAUCGGCCAUGGGAAAUUUUGGGGACCCCUAUUAUUCAGAAACGGUUUUUAAGAGGUUCUUACUUUUUAAAAUGGGAGCUCUUCUUUUAACUUCGCGUGUACGUUGUGCCUGUUAGUUAGUCCGUCCGCCACUGGGUGUGGCUGGGGCAUUUACCAUUUCUUGACCGCAACGUCGGUUCGGAUGCUUGUCUCGUUGCUUUAUUCGUUUGCAUUUGCUUCAGUUUAUUUUUUACAUUGAUUAAAACAUUACAUAUAUGAAUUCAGCAUUGUUUAUAUACCGAUAGGCUGCCGGUUUACAAAAUGAAAUGAACAUACAAUUAAGUAACAAACAUAAUGUUUUUAAUAAGUGAUGCUAGAUAAAUUGUUUCUAGUGUCAAUGUCACCCAUUUCACCAAUACGGACAACAUGUUGUCGGGACCUAGAACCUCUUAUACAAAUUACUGCAGUUCUAAGUAAGCAAAAACUCAGCUUUCUUUUGAUCCAAGCAGAGGUUUCACUAACGUUUUGGUGAUGUUUUUCAGCAAUUAGUUGCGACACACGUUGGAAAAAUUUCCUCGUGUUCCUUUAUUUGUUUCUUUAAUUUUUUGUUUUUGAGCAGCGUCGGAACGAGACACUGUCAUGAAAACGAGACAUAGCCGUUACAAUCAGCAAGAAAUGCAAUGGCGGAAAGUUUGAAUGAGACAUUUGUUAUUCCUGUGAACAACGGAAACGAACAGUUGUUCUCUGAAGAUUCACUAGUUGCUGGGGAUUCAACGAGAUCAUUGCUAACACCUCUCUAUGCUUCAGACUAUGAAAGUAUCUCUAAAAGAUCAGUAUCAUCUGCAUCAACAUCUAGAUCAUCUUCUAAAUCAUCAUCAUCAUCAAGCUCAAGCAGUAGCUGCUCUAGUGAAGAUGAGGCAUCGGAUCAAAGUUCUUCAACAACCUAUGCUAGUCUAAAAAAGCACAAAAGGUAUAUUGCAUCAUUAAAGACCCCUCAAAAGAAAGUACCACCUCAGAGUUAUGGUUAUAGAAAGUCCAAAGGCCCUCCAAGUCUGAGAACUGCCAAUGUCGACCAGCAAAUGAAGAUUCUUACAAAAUCCUGGGAAGAAUGGAUAAUCGAGAAAGCUAUUGAAGAUCUGAAGAGAAUUCAAUUGAAACGUGAGCUUAAGCAGAAGAAGAAGAUUGAAUAUAAAUUAAAAAAGGAAGAGAAACAAAGAAAGGAAAAACAAGAAGAGGAUAACAGAAAAAGAUGGCUUGCUGAAAAAAAUUAUGAAUACGAAAAACGAAAAAAGGAAUUAGCAGCACAAAAAGAAUUUGAAAAACUGAAAGAAGAACAACAAAAAGAAAUAAUAAGAACGAAAUCAAAAAUUGCAUAUGAAAGAUGGUUAAACGAAAAGGAAGAGAAAAUGAAAGAAAAAGUUUCAGAAGAAAAACAGAAGUCUUUAGAAAUGAGAGAGAAAGGAAUUGAAAGAAGAAAAGAGAGUCAACUGGCGUACGAAAACUGGUUAAGGAGUGCAAAGGCUGAAAAGAAAAAGAAAGAGAAUCGGAAAAGAAUAAAUGAAGAAUCUGAUGAAUACUUCAGAAAGUUGACAGGUGCAAUGCCGAGCUUUGUUAACCCAGAACCUUGGAACGGAACUUUAGAGCAACAAAAAUUAUACCCUUUUUUGAGUUUAAAAGAGAAAAAACCUUACCAAUCACCUCCGCUACUUUGGAAAGAUUAUUACGAACGACUGGACAAACGUAGAUAAAAGCGAAUUUAGAGGUGGCUUUCUGUUCUAGUACACCUGUUUUUUAUAUGAUUAGCCGUAUAAGAAGCACGUGUUAUCUUUACGGUCAUAUCAUCUCAGGAAACUCAUAAUUAUUACAUUGCAUUUGUACUGUGGUCAUAAAAGAAAGCUCAUUCGUUGCUCAUUUUGCUCUUAUUGUUUUGAAAGGAUUACACCUAGAUAUGAAUUUCAGUAUUGAGUUCUCCACUGUUCUAUAAUGUGCGAUGCACGUCAACUUUUUAGGCUUAAUACGGAGAGAUAUCAUUGUUUUUUCCUUUGUGCUCCUUUUGGCAUACAAAGAGGAGAGACUUAUCUGUAGAGAAAUUUUCAUCAAAGCUUGAUGUUUGCUUCCUCUGUAAAUUGUCCGUCUAAUUGUAUUUAAUGAUAUGCAGGUACAUGAGUUUUUAGAUUUUAGCUAUGUAUACAGGAUUGGCUCAAAUUUUAUUGAUAAACUGGGUUGUUUCCAUGGUUAUUUAGCUUUAAAAAGUAUUGAUUAUUAUAAGUCAACAAUAAAAGAAUUUUAAAUAUAUUAUUUAUCAAAAGUGUAGAAAACGACUACUCGCAAAUUCAAACCUCACAAAAUACGAUUAUGUAUGAGGAUUGAUUGUGUUUGUAGAGUAACUAUUCACAGAGCCUUUAACCUAACUGUAAAUACUUUCAUAUCUUCAUAAAGACGCUCAGGGUUAACACUUUCCAAACUCGUCAUUACUGCUUACGUUUUGACUGGUAUUUUGUAAAUUGCUAUGUGAGGCACGCUAUCCAUGGUCGAAACCUAAAAUUGAACUAGAAUCUAAGUGUAAAAUUAGAAAAAGAUAAGUAGUACCAUAUCAGUUAAACUGGAUCAAUGUUAUUAUCAUAAAAUUGGCAUUUUCAAAGUAUUUAUCAUCUAAGUUUCUUUAACAUCCACAUCGAAGGUUGCAAAUGUGCAAAAGCCAAUAUUUUUCAACAUUUUAAUCCAAUUUUGUUGUCUAAAAGAUUUUCUAGUAUUAGUAGCUUUAUUAUGGAAAUACUUUACAAUUUUGAAAAUUGUCUCCGCUAUCUCUGCUAAAUGCCCUGUCUCAGUGACGACUUCCAUAGCGAUUAACACCUUUACUUGUGUGGUAAACUGAAACAAUUUGGUCUAUAGCCUCAUACCCAAGUAGCGCUGAUACCGUCUUAGCAGCUUGUGUUUCCAAAGAAUACAUAGCUGGGACAAUCUUUCACAACAUCCUUGGGAAAUGGUGUUAUUUCUUUGACUUACAUUCGUUUUGUCCUUGUGCCAACUUUUCUAUGCAGUCUUCAAGUGCCCUUGAAAAUCAAUCAUUCGAGUUUUUCCUUUCUCGCAUGUUCAUACAAUGAUUCCACCUUUCAUAAAACUCGAAACUAGAAAUGCCUAUAGCCUACUUUUACAAAGGGAUAAUAAUUCUGUUCUUCCAAUUUUUAUGUAACCAGCUCAAAACUUCGAUAACUUUGUCAAAACGUCGACAUAAACUUUAUGGUACAUUUAUACGAAGAUAGCUGGAUGGGAAAAAUACGAAGAAAUUGAGAAAGGCAAGGAGAUGAAGGAAAAUAGACCAGGCUCUUUGCUUUAUUAUCGGAGCUAGGCUUUCAAAAAGCUGUGUAGUUUCUGACUUGUAUUAGCUCUUGGUUGGCAUGCGGCGGAAAAGAUGAAAGAGAGAAAUAGGCCAUUUGAUCUUGCUAAGAAGGGGGAAUUUCAAACUUCCGAAAAAAUUCAGAUUUGAUUUUAAAAGAUUUAAUCUCACAUUGUGUCACAAAAUGAAGCUUCUUCCUAUCAGCUGAUAUGAUAUUGUCAAGCAAAGCUAUUCUACAAGAAGUUCUUCCAUGACAUGUGAGCAUAUAUUUUUGGUCAUCCAAAAUCUUUCCAUUCAUUUUAUGUAGUUAGCCCAUUAACAGUGAUUUUAUAGUAAGUGAUUAUGCUUUUUUGAAUUUUUUAAACACGUCUGUUGUUGAUCCGGCUUGCUUAAUGUAAUUGAUUUAUUAUCAGAUUCCUUCCGAUUUCUUCCUUGACCUGAAGAUUUAUUUCACCCAACCAUUCCUGCCAAAAAUUCAUUUCUCGUCAUCCUGGUGGCGAAAUCUUCCCUAAAGAGCAAGUUAAAUGGGCUGGGUCACUUGUAAGGCCGCAGGACAAUGUCGUUAUUUUGAAGCUUGUGGAUGGGGUGAAUCCACUACAGCAGCUGAACUGAUAUUUGGUAGGGAAGUGUAUCGCCGCGCAUCGUGAAGAUCUCAAUGUUUAUGACACAACAGAUAUUAAUUUUGCAUUCCAAAAUACAUGUAGAAUUAUUAAAAACAUAUAUUUGGAGAAUUUUGAAUGGAUCAGUCCAUAAAAAAGAAGCCUGCUCGCAGUGCAGCGGGCAAGGAGAAGAGAACUUCCUAUAGGGCCGUUUGGCUGAAAGGACAAAGACGCGUUUAUUUUGAAGCACAGGUCCACGAACAGUAGAAAUUGCUGAAGACUAAUGGAAAAUUCAAAAACGACCCAGACCUGGCAGCUUAUCUGAUCUCAUAAUAAUAAAUAUAAUGAUAAUAAUAAUCAAUUUAUUUACAGUAGGCGGGGAUAAUAUAGCUGUUUAUGUACAAUUUGUGUAUAAGCUAAUUUAGGCCUAAUUUGCAAAAAUUUAGAAUAAAAAGCAAUUAAGAAUGAAUGAUUAAUAAUUACAUAUAUACAAACUAAUUUAGGCCUACUUUACAAAAAUUUAGAAAUUAAAGCAAUUAAGAAUUAAUAAUUACAUUUAUAAAACAAUUAGUUAAUUAAUGAAAGAAGAGAAAUUGAAGAUUCAAAAAAAUUAAAUUUCACAAUGCAUUUACAGGUAAAAGAUGUUUUAAAAUUUUCAAACCAAGACGACUUUUUUUUAUUUUCUAGUAAUCUCACUAUAAUUCAGGCGACAGGAAAGGUAGUAUUCAGACCUACCCUACGUACUGAAUCUUUCUUUGGCCUUGUUAGGCCAUAUAUGAAUAGGAUUACUGCUAGUCAUCGUCUUCGCUCUCGUCUUCCUCCAUUGAAGCUAUUAAAGAUGUAGACAGCGCUUCAAGCAUUAUUUCAUCGUCCGCCAUUGUGUAAGACAACGAUUUGUAAACAAAAUCCCUGAUACACGCAGGCUGUCCCUCACAGAACUUUUUUUUACAGUUACGUGACCCAGCCCCUUUAAACCCUUUCCAUAUGUCUGGUCGCUGAAUAUAAAAAGGGACUGCAGAUAACGAUGGUGCAAAGAGGCACGCGGGGCAAAAAUGUCAUUGGAAAACAAGCUUCUCUUUCUUGCUCUUGAGGUUAUGCACUCUUAAUGCAGCCAUUUCUUGUCGUAUCUCGUGAAUCCAGAAUAAUGUAAAGAGGAUUGAGGAUUUUAAAGUUAUUAAGUAAACAAAUUCAAAUUAUUAGAAGGUUUAGAAAGAUACGUCUUCCCUUUUUGUGAAAUCAUAUCAAUUUCUGUUCUGUCAUGGCAGUCAAAAGGAGUCUCUUCCGUUAGAAAGUCAUAAGAUUAGCCCCAAUGGUCGUGGUAAUUUCACAUGACAUGUGAAAUUAUAGACUCAGUUGCUUUGUGAGGGAAGGGUCUGAAAAGUAUUUUUCGAUUAUUCUUCGACUUCCAAAAUUAGUUUUAAAAUUGGUGUGGUCGCUGAUCUGUAGAAGGAUGAAAAGAGCCUAGCCUUUUCCAUGAUGACUGCCUUUAUAUGUUUAAACGGUUCGUUUUAACAUAUGAUUUAAUAGUUAGGCCUUUUUUCUUUAUAUAUGAGCAGAAAUUAACUGCCAUUCAAUUUUUAGAUAAAUUAGGCUGCUACAAUGGACAUAGCUGCAUAGAAUGGUUUGUAACAAAAAGCAGCUUCAUUAUGACAUAACAUAACCCAUGUUGCACGCAACUCAAGCCGCAACAUUGCGGCUUUAUUGCGGAUGUUUGCUUUUUGUCGUUUACAUCGAACCAACUUUGGAAUUAUUUGUUUCUCUUAAAGCCUGUUUAAGGCAUUCUGUUGCUUGCUUCAUCUUCAAGUUUUUAAGCAACCCGAGUUCGCAAUUUCUAGUAGGAACUUUUUGCUUUGCGUUUUGGCAAUUUAACGGAUACAUAAUAACUUUUUACAUUAAAGCAAAGGCCUCAGCAUUAACGUUACUAUCUCUUCUUUGUAAUCAAGAAUUUUCUCUUUCAGUUUCCAACUCAAACAAAGCGUAUAUUCCUGUGUUCGUUGCUAUCAGUCCGUGUUCUCCCUAGGCUUGAUUUACAGGAGAGAAAUUAUAUUUCCAACUUUAUGUUAAACCUAGGUUGGCAAAUGUCGUGUAGAAAGGGCUUGAAUCCACAACAAUGAAAUGCUAGCAAAUCAUAGCUUUACGUUGAUGACUCAGUUAUAUGGUAUUUCCUGCUUUCUGUAUCAUUUGCCGAAACUUCUGCCAUUUAGCUUAAAGAUACCGAAGUUCAGGUAGAUGCUUUGUUUCUUCACAUCAUGUGAUCAAAUCUCCCUAGUGAGGAUCACACCUCAGCAGCUGGUGGCCUCUUUUUGGCGAUUAUAGUAAUCUCCGAUUGACGUUAGCUGAAGCUCCAUGAUAUUUGUUCGAUCAAGCUCUCUCUCUCUCUCUUUCUCUCUCUCCAAUAUGUCGUUGCAUAUGUCACUACCAGACUUGUCGGAAACGAGCUAUUUCGAGAAAAAGACGGUUUUAGAAGAAUUAUAACGCUUAUAGCUGUUGCUUGCCGGAAUCUCGACCUUUAUUACUAGCUAACGAAAUCAGAGUGCACAAAUAAGAACGACCCGUUGGCAAAUGUGAGAUAUUCUCUAAUUCAAUUUACCGAAUCAUGUGGACACCGUUUGUCUGGUGGCUUCAACUCAGUUCGGCCAAGUCAAAGCGGGUAUCAUCGAUGUUAAGUAUCCUGCAGGCGCGAUUGUCACAUGCGCAAUAAACACACUUGGCGGAGUAUAAGAAAACCAGCAAAUUCUGAAGCCGCUUCUUAAAGAAGGGGCCAUUGAAACAAGCUCUACAGCGACGUGAGAAAGCGCAGCACAAAGAGAAACGGCCCCAGAAAUAUGGCAAUGAUAUGCUCAAAAGCUUUGAUUGUCCUGCUUAUUGUGAUGCUUACUACAAAACCAGCUGGAUCCCACUUGAUGCCAGGACGAGAAAUCCACGAAGAAGGGCACAGAUUGAUGAUCAAUCAGAGGUUGGAAGUCUGGAGACGAUUACACGAGAAGCUAGCAGGGGAGUGUAGAAUUCAACUGAAAUAUAUAAGAGAACAGAUCAUGAGACAAAAAAUGCUAAGCAAGGCAACGACUGAAAGGCGCAAAGCAGACUAACUGAAAUUCUUUCUGCUAUAUGUAGUAGAUUUGUUGUAAAUCAUGCAUAAACUGGAAAUUUUUCAUUCAUUUUCUUCAUACUUCUGUCUUAUAAUAUAUCCUUGAAAACUACAAUCUUUUCACUGAGACUGCUCUGUGUGGAAUGGUCGCUGAUUCUUGAGUGUAUUGGCAGCUGUUUUGAAACUAAAAUUGUUGAUAGCCAAAAAUUGAUUAACCAUGCUUUAUGGAACCUGUUGUUUUAUAUUAAGGAUUCCGUUACUAAUCGACAGUUUUCUUCUAGUAAGAACAAAAUUAGCACGCGGUGAUAAUUUUUUGAACGAUUCACUGCCUCCUCAAAAUUCUUCUGAUUAGCUCUUUGCCGCAGUUUAAUUAUGAGAAACUUGAUCGUGGAAUUCGAACAAAAUUUGCUUCGGACAUGCUUCGUCAAGUACAACAACACCCUGAUAAAUUUCACCCCCUACAUUUAACUACGUGAGCCAUAUGCGAACCAGAACAUUAUUCUUUGAUGGGAUGAAUUUAAGCCCAUAUUUUAAAAGAAGGGUAAUCGUGUGCUCGCUUUCUACUUUCUUUGAUUCAAACAGACCGACUGCCUGAAAUAGAGGAGGAAAUCGGUCAAGCCAGUGAUGUUCUCACGCCAAUUUUUUUGCAGUAAAAUAAAAUGGCAAGAAAAUCCUCCAUGGCAAUCCUUAUAUAAAAUACUACCCUUUCCGACUCAAACAUUUCAGCAGUGAUUUUUGCGAGAAGUGCACCUUACAACGAUUUCAAAAAGUGUACAGGACUAUUUUAGAGCAAUUGGAUUUUAGGGGAUUUUUCUCGAAAUAAAGGGAUUUUUCAGAAUAGCGUAUGCAAUUUUUGUGGAAAAUGGCGGAAAGACUGCAUUCAUUACGAUAGGCAGAAAGCAUAAUUUAAGCAAAUUGAACACAAAUUCUAUAAAGAUCGCUGAGGCUGAAAAAAAGCCAGUCUAUUCUUAGAGAAUUUUUGAAACAAUGAGCGAUGAAAGCUUGGUUUUAAAAAAUCAAAUACUAAAAACUUUGUUUCACUGUCUGCCAGAUUGCCAAAUACAGGCACUGCAACGCGGGCAUGAUGCAGCAGCUAGGAUAAUAACUGUUAUAAAAAAUAUGAUCACUUUCACAUCACUCCACUCCAGCAUUAAACGACCUACAUUGGAAACCUGUGACACAAAGGACCGGCUACGAGGUUUGACGUACACAUCGCUAACAUGGUCCCGUCUUACAUAGCGAGUAGGUUCUCGAUUCAAGCACAGAGAGGAGAUACUCUUUCAGGUCAUGUAUGAAACAGAACAUUCGGAGACAGAGCAUUUCUAGUCGCUGUUGCUAUAUCCUUGAUUCACCUACCAUAUAGCAUUCAUAACGCAAAAAGCAUUUUUUGCUUUUAAAUCCGAAUGGGACGAUUCUUAUUUUCUAUUGCUUUGAAAAUUCAGCUCAUUCUGGAACGUUGUACUUGUAAAUAUUGACAACGUAUCUAAACUCUAGUACAGCGCUAAAAAUAAAUACCUAGUAGAUUUUGGCACUUUGUAAAAAUUGUCAUUAUAAUAAUUAUUAAAAUUGAAAGACAUAGAUCUUAUUAGUUCUCGAAAGAGCUCUUAUAAGAACAAGAGCAAAUCAUUUUCUACCAAAAGGUUUUCAAAAGCCUUAUUCGAACACGCCGUAGAAUUGUGUACGCGAUGAAAUUGUCAAGACAUAAGAAUCGGCCCCAGUAGCCAUCCUUGCAUAUCAGUGUCAGUUGGCAUGUUCCAUUAUAUAUCGGCGUGUUCCACUUUAUACAAGUAGAUUUCUUGUAUAAGUAGAUCACUGCUUGACCCGCAUGCAAUUUAAGGCUUGAAAAAUGCUUCUAAUAUCAAUGAACCAAUUUUCCCUUUAGGUCUGGAUCAAAAACCAGAAUUUUAGUCUAUAAGUUUUGAUGGUGCUAGUGAUGAAGAUAUCAAGUUAAAACUUUUGUAAGUGAUCUGACCGUGAUUAGCGACAAAUAUUUUCUUGUCAAAUUUUUUAAAACCUUUCAAACUAUAUAUUGUCUUAAACUCUCAAUACAGGCACAAAUAAUAUGAAAAUCCGGACUAAAUGAAGUGUUGUAAAUCCUAAUUUGAACUAAAACAGUUCUAACAAUGAAGCUGGAAAUUAAAUUGUCACAUCAAAGCGCAUGGGGGAUUUGUGGGUACUAUUAGGGAAAUCUUGGAUAUUAUUAGGGGGAUCUAGGGAUUAUAAAACAGAUUAAUAUAAUACAGUUUGUACACUAUUCAUACUUUUGAAAUGCAUUGGAAGACGGCCACCCCCACACUCCCUAAAAAAUGCCACUGUGCAGAGAUCUAUAUAAUAAAUUAUAAUUCAGCCUUCACUGUUGAUCACAAAGAGCUAUUUUUAGCAUCAGCUGCCAUGGUGAUACUUAUAUAUAAACAGGUUGACGAUCUUCUUUUUUGUAAAAGCUUCUGUACAUGUUGAUCUUUGCUCUUGACUAUCCAUGUGCUCAAGAGCCCAUCAAAAAUGACGUCAUGAUCCCAGGUUUUUAUCUCAAAUUCCUAGAAAAUUUCUUACAGGCUUGUAAUUUCUUCUGCUUUCAAUCAUUCAAGCUAAUCAAAAGAUUCGUACCUGGUGGUGAUUUGGUUACAUUGCUUAAGCCUUACAGAUAGCCUCAAUUGUUUUUCAAAUUAUGUGAUUGGUCGGCUAAACAACAAAGCCCCAGGUAUUCCUUUCUGGUUCAAAAUAAUACAAAAUUCAAAGACGGGGUUUGUUCUUAACGUAUAUUCGAUAAAGCAUAGAGGCACUCGAGGGGUAAUUCACUCUUGUAAAAAGUCUACGAGAUUUCCACACAAAACAAAAUAGUUUCCAGGAAUUUUCUGAUAAAACAAUAGGAUUUCCUUCAAAGGUCUAAGUGAUUUUAUUGAAGUGAUUUGCCUCUCGCAGGUACUCUGGUAGAGUCUCUUUCAAGGGGUUGGUCUUUUGCGUCAUUCAUACGCUUCGAAUGCGUUCUUUGGUUCGUCAUUAUAUAGUUUAAACCCUAGCUUAUGGCGUUUCCAUUUUGCUAGAAGGGCAACAGGUGACAUGUCAUGAGGAUAUUGAAACUUGGGAGUUGAUUGCAGUUUUGUCUAUGUAAAUUGAG